GGAGAUUCGCCAGCCAGACUCAGAGGAAGUCGGGCAUACAGUACUGAGGAGGUAACGAGUCAUUUGGCAGAGUGUAGAUUAAUAUAAGUGGGUUAAUUUAAGUUUUAAGAGCUAGUUGGGAACAACCAUAAGCUAAGGUCAGGUUUCACAAUUAAUAAAAAGCCUUCAUGUCAUUAUUCAGAAACUGGCAGUCCAAAGAAAGACCUACUACAUUAAAGUUUCACAGAGAAACUCUGUCUUGAAAAAAACAAAUAAACAUAUAUGUAUAUAAUAUAUUUAUGUAUAUUGAUAUAAAUAUAUAUAAUAUAAGUAUGUUUAUAUUAUAUACAUUAAAGAUAGAUCCAUAAUCGUUCCCUAGUCUGAAAUGGAGAGAAAAAGGUCACUCUUAAGGCUGAGCUUGCACCUGAUCAGAAUUCACCAGUUGAUGGGGAAUGUACUGUGUAUGUUUAUUUUAUUGAUUAUUGAAUAAAGUACUUGUUUAGCCAAUGAAACAGCAAGUUAGGCAGGACUAGGAGUCAAAGAGGGUUCUGGGAAAUGUAGUAGAGAAGUGGUGUUCUAGGCAGGAAGUGACAUAGCAAGGAGAAACAGGAAAUGUCCCGCUUUCCCCUUCACCUCCUCCAGCGGCAGGAUGUGAGCUACUGGCAAGGAGGGACGCCAAUAAGGCGUCCGAUAAGAUAAGUCUUAUAAAAUAUAUAGAUUUAUGAUAAUUAAGUCUGAGCUAACAGAUGAGAAUCCUAGUCAUUGGCCAAGCAGCUUUGAACCUAAUAUAAGUCUCUCUGUGUAUUAAUUUGGGCCCUAACUCGGGCAGGCGGCUAGCGUAAAGUGCACACAUGGCAGUGGGGCUCAGCGGCUCUUGGUGGAAAGAUUUAUCGUAACAACCAGUUGUUGAAGAUGUUGUACCUGGAUCUCUGGAUGGCCUGAACCCACGCCUUCUCUCUUCUCCAGGGUCUCCGGAUGUGUGCUGUUUUCUACCUUCCCUGUUCUGCUUUGUCACCCUUAUUGGAGGAAAUCAGAGCUGUGUGACAUCAGCCUGCCUGGGCAAUGGGCUGUUUUUCUUUGUGCUCAGGUUGAGUUGUUCCAACUUCAACCUUGACGCUAAAGAGCCACAGCAAUGUGAUAGGAUCUCUGAAAGGUGAGAAAACAUAGUCCCGCCCUAAAGACAGAUUCAGGACCAUGGACAGUGGCGCACAGCUUUC
rnacentral:lncRNA from 1 species